rnacentral:rRNA from 1 species
UACGAAGGGGGCUAGCGUUGCUCGGAAUCACUGGGCGUAAAGGGUGCUUAGGCGGGUCUUUAAGUCAGGGGUGAAAUCCUGGAGCUCAACUCCAGAACUGCCUUUGAUACUGAAGAUCUUGAGUUCGGGAGAGGUGAGUGGAACUGCGAGUGUAGAGGUGAAAUUCGUAGAUAUUCGCAAGAACACCAGUGGCGAAGGCGGCUCACUGGCCCGGUACUGACGCUCAGGUGCGAAAGCGUGGGGAGCAAACAGG